UGGGGAAUAUUGCACAAUGGGCGCAAGCCUGAUGCAGCGACGCCGCGUGCGGGAUGGAGGCCUUUCGGGUUGUAAACCGUCUUUUUGUUCAAGGGCAAGGCACGGUCUUUGGCCGUGUUGAGUGGAUUGUUCGAAUAAGCACCGGCUAACUACGUGCC
rnacentral:rRNA from 1 species